UGUCGGCCAUCCAGGCGAGUGUACGUUAACACUGUGGUCGUGGACGGUGCUGUGGCAACACCAGUGUCUACACUCUCCUCAACACUCCAUUAACACCUCUGCAACGCGGUGUAUAUAAAUCUAGUUAUCUAGAUUGUGUGCGUGACGACCCAGUGGUAGUAGCUGGUUAUCACCUGCAAGAAGCAUACCCAGAGGAGAUCGUCCCCUUUGGUCAAUUGAUCUCGCUGCCCAGUGAACAGAGGGAAGCAGCCUAAACCCCCUCACAAGUGGUCCAUUUAGCUCUACAAUUAAUCUUGUAUAGAUUCCUGCAGUUUAUCAACUAUAUUUCUGCAAGUGAUCCACUCAGUCCUAAAACCGAAAGUCACCUGAAGUGCAUGAAAGUGAUUUCAUCAGGAAGAUCAGACGUCUUGUGUUACCCCUGGCAUCGGCAUUAUGGAAGGGCUGGAUCAUAUUGGGGACGUUAAAGGCGUCACGCAAUGGCUGGGGAAUGGGAAGGUAGCUCCAGUUCCUUGGAUCAAGAUUCCUUCACCAGUAUCAAGGCAAAACUUGAAGGAAGUUAUCAUUGAGAUGUACAUACUGGUUUAAGGGACCAGCGAUACCUUGCUUCGUCAAACGGCAACCAAAUUAAUGUAUAUCUAGUUAGUGUACAUGCUUAGUUUUGUACAGUAUAGCAUGAUUGACUAUUAAUCCCUCUGACACUGCAACAGUGAUGAACAUAGCAUGAGCAUAACCUCUUUUCAUUCUUAUUGGUUAAUGCAAAGCAGGCCAAGAUUCUUGUCACUAUCUUUUUACCUAUUU